UACGUAGGCAGCAAGCGUUGUUCGGAGUUACUGGGCGUAAAGAGUGCGUAGGUGGUGCCCUAAGUCUGUUGUGGAAUCUCCCGGCUUAACUGGGAGGGUGCGGUGGAAACUGGGGUGCUUGAGUGUGGGAGAGGUAAGCGGAAUUCCUGGUGUAGCGGUGAAAUGCGUAGAUAUCAGGAGGAACACCGGUGGUGUAGACGGCUUACUGGACCACGACUGACACUGAGGCACGAAAGCGUGGGUAGCAAACAGG
rnacentral:rRNA from 1 species